UCUUUUCCUUUUUUGCCCGCCGCCGCGGUAAUACGGAGGAUGCGAGCGUUAUCCGGAUUUAUUGGGUUUAAAGGGAGCGCAGACGGGAGAUUAAGUCAGUUGUGAAAGUUUGCGGCUCAACCGUAAAAUUGCAGUUGAUACUGGUUUCCUUGAGUGCAGUUGAGGCAGGCGGAAUUCGUGGUGUAGCGGUGAAAUGCUUAGAUAUCACGAAGAACCCCGAUUGCGAAGGCAGCUUGCUAAACUGUAACUGACGUUCAUGCUCGAAAGUGUGGGUAUCAAACAGG
rnacentral:rRNA from 1 species